rnacentral:rRNA from 1 species
GAUGAACGCUGGCGGCGUGCCUAAUACAUGCAAGUCGAGCGAACGGACGAGAAGCUUGCUUCUCUGAUGUUAGCGGCGGACGGGUGAGUAACACGUGGAUAACCUACCUAUAAGACUGGGAUAACUUCGGGAAACCGGAGCUAAUACCGGAUAAUAUUUUGAACCGCAUGGUUCAAAAGUGAAAGACGGUCUUGCUGUCACUUAUAGAUGGAUCCGCGCUGCAUUAGCUAGUUGGUAAGGUAACGGCUUACCAAGGCAACGAUGCAUAGCCGACCUGAGAGGGUGAUCGGCCACACUGGAACUGAGACACGGUCCAGACUCCUACGGGAGGCAGCAGUAGGGAAUCUUCCGCAAUGGGCGAAAGCCUGACGGAGCAACGCCGCGUGAGUGAUGAAGGUCUUCGGAUCGUAAAACUCUGUUAUUAGGGAAGAACAUAUGUGUAAGUAACUGUGCACAUCUUGACGGUACCUAAUCAGAAAGCCACGGCUAACUACGUGCCAGCAGCCGCGGUAAUACGUAGGUGGCAAGCGUUAUCCGGAAUUAUUGGGCGUAAAGCGCGCGUAGGCGGUUUUUUAAGUCUGAUGUGAAAGCCCACGGCUCAACCGUGGAGGGUCAUUGGAAACUGGAAAACUUGAGUGCAGAAGAGGAAAGUGGAAUUCCAUGUGUAGCGGUGAAAUGCGCAGAGAUAUGGAGGAACACCAGUGGCGAAGGCGACUUUCUGGUCUGUAACUGACGCUGAUGUGCGAAAGCGUGGGGAUCAAACAGGAUUAGAUACCCUGGUAGUCCACGCCGUAAACGAUGAGUGCUAAGUGUUAGGGGGUUUCCGCCCCUUAGUGCUGCAGCUAACGCAUUAAGCACUCCGCCUGGGGAGUACGACCGCAAGGUUGAAACUCAAAGGAAUUGACGGGGACCCGCACAAGCGGUGGAGCAUGUGGUUUAAUUCGAAGCAACGCGAAGAACCUUACCAAAUCUUGACAUCCUUUGACAACUCUAGAGAUAGAGCCUUCCCCUUCGGGGGGGCAAAGUGACAGGUGGUGCAUGGUUGUCGUCAGCUCGUGUCGUGAGAUGUUGGGUUAAGUCCCGCAACGAGCGCAACCCUUAAGCUUAGUUGCCAUCAUUAAGUUGGGCACUCUAAGUUGACUGCCGGUGACAAACCGGAGGAAGGUGGGGAUGACGUCAAAUCAUCAUGCCCCUUAUGAUUUGGGCUACACACGUGCUACAAUGGACAAUACAAAGGGCAGCGAAACCGCGAGGUCAAGCAAAUCCCAUAAAGUUGUUCUCAGUUCGGAUUGUAGUCUGCAACCCGACUACAUGAAGCUGGAAUCGCUAGUAAUCGUAGAUCAGCAUGCUACGGUGAAUACGUUCCCGGGUCU